rnacentral:tRNA from 1 species
AAAGGGAGACCUAAUUCCGGUAGGAGACGAAAAAAAAGUAGUCCCUACCAAGAAUCAAUCCCAAAAGGUCGGAACGAGGUAUGAGGCUUUCAAACUAGGUUCUGGGUUCAUAAAAGACCUGAAUCAGGAACAAGGGCUAUUAGCUCAGGUGGUUAGAGUGCACCCCUGAUAAGGGUGAGGUCCCUGGUUCGAGUCCAGGAUGGCCCACCUGCACAGGUGGCAAAAACAAGAGAAGCGAGGAAUCAGCACCUUAUCUUACUUAUAUAGUAAGAGAGAAUGCUGGCUCUGAGUAAAGAGUCCAGAGGAACCUUGAAAACUGCAUAGAGCUAGGUGAAAAAGCCAAAAAAGAAGACCGCAAG